UGCGCUCUUCCGGCAGUGGCUUCUCCUGGCUGCCGCGGCUUCCCCGGCGUCCGCGCGUGCGCAGCUGAGAAAUGGAACUCUAUUCCUGUGACACUUUUGUGGCAUUACCUCCAGCAACAGUUGGAAAUAGGGUUAUUUUUGGAAAAAAUUCAGACAGACUCUUUGAUGAAGUACAAGAAGUAAUUUACUGCCCAGCUGCAGUUCAUAAUGAUUUGGAAAAACGUCUCAAGUGUACUUAUAUAGAAGUUGAUCAAGUUCCUGAAACAUAUGCUGUUGUCCUUAGUCGCCCAGCUUGGCUGUGGGGGGCAGAAAUGGGUGCCAAUGAGCAUGGUGUCUGCAUUGGGAAUGAGGCUGUAUGGGGAAGAGAAGAUAUUUCUAAGGAGGAAGCACUUUUGGGCAUGGACCUUGUCAGGCUGGGCCUUGAGAGAGCUGACACAGCUGAGAGAGCUCUGGAUGUCAUUGUUGACUUACUAGAAAAGUAUGGCCAAGGUGGGAACUGUGCAGAGGGUGAAGAGUUCAGCUAUUACAACAGUUUCCUGAUAGCCGACAGGAAUGAAGCCUGGAUCCUGGAGACGUCGGGGAAGUACUGGGCAGCAGAGAGAGUCCAAGGUGUGAACAGCUAUCUGCAGUUUGGUUUAUAAUUACGUAAUUAAUAAAAUCUACUGUAACUGUAGAUGAUAUGCUUACUUGCCUUUUGAGAUUUAUAAUCCAUUGCAUUAAAGGAGAAACUGCAGAGCAAGGUUUAAACUGGAAAGAACAGAAAGGGAACGAGAACUGUGAUGAGCAUUCAUACAAAAAAAUCACCAGGUCGCGUCAUCUCCAGCGGCCUGUGGCUGCCUAGAGUGUGGUGGUGGUCUUUUUUAUUUGUUUGUUUGUUUGGUUUAGAAUUGGAUGUCAUUGAGUAAAUGCAAUCUGAUUGCUCUGGAAUUGAUUUCUCCAGGUGGUUUAUUUGUGGUCCUAUAUUCCUCUUAUUUCUUCUUGCGUGUGUUUCCUUGUGAUGCGCGUGCGUGUAUAUAUGUGGAGGGAGGCAUACAGGUCCACUGUGUACAAGUGAAGGUCAGAGGACAACCUGUGGUGACUCACGGUCCCUGUGGUUUACUGCUCCUGCGUGAACUUGACUAUCUGAUCCCCACUCUUCUGGGGAUUUUCUCCCAUUGCCUUCCGUCUCACCACAGAAGUCCUGGGACUGUAGACACUAAGGCCAUCCCUGACUUCACCUGAGUCCUGGGGACUUGAAUUCACAUAAUCCAUUAAGCUUUCUCCGCAGCCAGUCCUCUUAAUUUCAAGUGAAGAAAUCCAGAGAUGGAAAGUAAUUUAGUAUGCUGAGAGAAAGCCUUCCUCCCCACCCCUUGUUCUGCAGAGCACAGUCUGUGUGUGCACUGACAUCUUGAAUCUCCUAGUUUUACAGAGGAGAUGAGGGACGCCUGUAAACACAGCAGUGGAGGUUAGCCCGGGAACUGUUGCUUGUCUGGCACACACAAGUCCUGGUUUAAUCCCCAGCAGUGUGUAAAACGGAGACGGGUGGGGCACAGGAAGGAGGGAGGUAGUGAGAGCAGAAGCUCAAGAUCAUUGUCGACUUCACAGAGUCUGAGUCCAGCCUUGGACUCAGGAGAACCUGCCUCAACUAAGUAGCUAGUGAACUGGGUGAACGAUGAACGAUGUGGACCCGGGGAUACUGCGGACAUUAGAGGAAGGAAGGUCAUUGUGAGCUUCUGGGGGUGUUCAAAAGGACUUCCCGGGAGCCUGUGCUGGAAGAUUCCAGUGUUACCUUUCAAAAUAGGGCAUUGCCAGUUAUUUUCAUUGGCUUUAGAAAUGCUGUUAUAUUUUAAGUUUGACACUUUCUAUGUAUUAAUAAAAUAUAUAAAAUUAAAUU